rnacentral:piRNA from 1 species
UUUAAAUAGGCCUGCCCAGGAGGUGCUGGU